UUUUUAAAAGUCUGGAGAGAACAUUCUCAAAGCAGCAUGUAAAUCCCUGGGCUCGUCAGAAGUCCUUUCCUCUCACACGUUUUGCUUAGCAAUGGGUCACUGGGACCCCAAACCAAACCCUGUCUAUGCCCCACCUGCUAAGAGAAUCUCCCAGGUACAUCCCGGGUCCUCCCUGGGUUACAGAUGAGGACAUAUCAAGUGGGCAGGGGCAUUGCAGCCAGGGCUGCCUGCCACCUCCAAGCCCAGGGGGAUCUGCCACCUCCUGUCACCUGCUGCCUAUCUCCACACUUCUCCAGAAAACUGACAUUUGGGACUUGCAGGGUUAGGGAGGCAGGCUUAUGAGUGACAGCUGAUAGUUAAUUCCUCCCUCUGUAGCUUCAUUUGGUUAUGGAAGGGCUGAUAACAGACAAAACCAAAUUCCUGGUGAUCAAGCACCUCCCCUUCAGCGACUAUCAAGUGGGAAUUAUACAGAGGAACCUGUAGGAAAUCACCGUGAGAGCAAUCCCAGGUUAAGUGACCAAGGAAAGCACGCACUCGGCAUGCUGCCAAGCAGGGUCCACGCUUUCCUGUGCUUGGCUUUCCAGAAGCAUCCACUUCUCGAUCAUCUGCCUCAGGCCCAACCUGUGCCAGGUGGGUGCUUCCUCAUUUCAUCCUCAGCAUAACCCAAAAGGAGGUGCAGACGAGGAAACCUGGGCCCAGAAAAGUGAAGUGACUCACACAGGUGGCCAGCAGUGAGUGAUGGGGCUGGGAUUCGACCCGGGAGACGCCAAAGCCUGUGCCCCCUCACCCUGAAACCCCCCGCCAGCUCCCCAGAGUGCACCGCCAGCAAAGAGAUCCUCAAGGGACAGUCACCUAACAAAAGGCAGAUCGGACGGAAGAGUCUCCCCCAUGCUGACACUGCCUGUGAUGGUGGAUUUAGUCCCACAACCCAGUGGAGGUUUGUCCCAACCCUGACAGGAACUCAGUGCCAAGAAGACCGGUACAAGCUGCUCUAACGCCUGAAAACGCCGCGGAGGAGGGAAAGCUGAGCGCCAGGAAAAGCUCCUAUUUGCAGCACACCUACCCCCACCGUGUGCCAGGCACUCAUCAUAAAUGUCACAAUGACAGAUGAGGAAACCGCGGCUCAGAAGGUCACGUCGCUGCCGGAGGCUGGCAGGGAGCAGGGUGGGGCUCUGACUGGGGCUGUGUUCUUUCCCACACAGCAGCAGCAGCCUUUAAACCCCAAACACCCUGAAAGCCCCUUUCUCCUCACCCGUCCUCAAAACACCCCUCCCAGAUAACGGCUUGGCAGCGCCACGUGCCCUUUGCAAACCCUGGAACACCUCUCAGCUCCCCCAACGGAUGGGUCCUGUGCUCCCCCGAACCCCCACAGAGGCAGGGAGGAUGCCACAGGCAGGAACCUUAAGAAACAUAAAGAAUGUAAACCUAUAGGCAGCAAUGUAUCAGAGGCACCAUAGCUGCCCUGAGUCAGACCACCGGCUAAAGACCCUGCCUCUGACCAGCUUCGCCCCAUCCCCAGACAGACCUGAAACAAGCUUCCAAGGACCUCCUCUGUCCAUAGCGAAUGCUCAGCAGGGAGCCGGGUCCUGGACCCAGAAUGCACACGUCAAGAGCUGGACUGCUGCCAGCUCACGCUCUGCUCAUUAUCCCCAUGUCAGACGUCUGCUGCCUCCUCUGGGGGCUCUUUACCUGGGGAUCCAGGUGGGGACACCCAGGGCGGAGGAAGGCUCCCAGGUGCUCAGUUGCUGAAUGAAUGAAUGAAUGCCCUCCAGAAAACAAAGCUUCAGAAACUUCCUCCCUCUACCUUCCCACUUCUCUAUCAUUUACCAAAAAUAAAAAAUAAUAGUAAUUACUCUCCAGAUUGACUGUCCUGAGGAAACAGCUGAUAUGGGGUCCACGACCUAGUGUGAUGAUUGACAGAAUCCGCCUGCAGUUCUCACCCUGGGAUCUCCCUUAAGGGUGGGAGGAACCCCCUUCGGGUCUGUCUCUGGAGUCCCCACUUCUAGAAGCACCUCGUAGCAAGGAAGAGCGGGGACCUGCCUGGGUAUUGGGAAGGUUGCUGGUCCUGGGAAAGGCAGGACCCUCAGGGCCACCAGGACCCUCGAGGUCACCUCACCCUGGACUCCUCUGUGCCUGGACAGCCAAAGCCAGAGGUAGAGUCCAAGAAUUAACAGCCACCCACUCACCAGCUACUGGCCAGGGCCAGCAAGGCCCUGGGGACAAUAGCAGGUCAUGGAGGGAUUGGAGGACUCAUUGGAGUCCCGGCCGGGAGGCAGAAGCAUGGAGGGACAGCCGGCCCGGGGGCCAGGAGCGUGGGCAGCAGCUGGCCGGGUUUCCGGAAGCCCGGGUGGAGAAGUGCCCGUGAUUCCUAGUCCCCCUCUUAAAAUAUAAAGACUCAAUUAUCUCUGAGCAGCUUGCUUUACACAUGAAUUGACACAUUUAUUUUACAAUAAAUAACUGAAAGUUAUCUGUGUUUCCUUUACUGUUAAUCUACACAGAGAAAUAAUAAACAGGGCUUGUCUACAAAAAUGCAACUACUGCAGUCCUCAGAAUUCAAUUAAGCUAAAAUAAUUAAUGCUCCCACCAUAUUAAAUUACUUUAUACAUUUGAGCCACUGAAGUUUUAUUCUUUAAUCUUUCCUUUUUAUUAAAUAAGAAAAGAAAAGAAAAGUUGGUGCCCAAGUAGGCAGGGAAAUAGGAGGAAUGGGAACUAGAAAGGCAGACGCAUGGUGUGCUGUUAAAAUGGGAUGGUCGUCUUCAGCUGACACAGCAUGUAGACUGUUUUGUGCCUUUGAUUAAAAUAACAUUUUAAAUGCUUUGAACAAACAUAUCUCUUUAGACUUCUAAGGGAUUAUUUUACAUAUUUCUUCUAGAAUGAAGAAAUCCAUUCGUCCUGUUGCUGAACAGAAAGGCCAAGAAUAUCUUUCGUCACACAUAAAAUAAAAAUACUGUAGCCUGCUGCAGUAUCACAACCCAGGAAAAAAAAACAGGGGGGCCAGAGGGUGGAAGGAUGAGGACAAAGCUGCCUUGGAGAUUAACUUUGCCUUUUAUGAAAUCACAUUUAGUCACUUUCUUAAACAAACCUGCCACAGUGAUCUGCAGCCUCUCACUGGGAAAUGCCUUCAAUGUGAAAUGAGGAUUUGGAUGUUUUUGGCAAAAGCAGCAAAUCUUUCCAUUGAAACAUAAAUAGGUGGCCCAAGUCUCCCUGGCAAGGCCACCCCUGAAAGAUCUAUGUGCACUGAGGCCAGGCAUUGACACUACAGGUGAAACUGUCCCCAGAACAUCAAUCAACAAAGACAAAAGGCACCCAGCACCUCUCUGGCCUGGUGGCUCAGCCCGGUGAAGAGACGCUGCUCGGGUGUUCACAGCACUCUGAGAAGCCAGUGUUUACAUGCCUGUGGCCUGGACAUGUCUCAAAGCCCCUUGCAUCUUGGAAAGCUUAUGAGACACUUCAUGCUAGGGCACCCAUCAGAAGGCAAGGCCCAGAGGCCAAUCUGGUUCACUGAUGCCUCCCCAGUGCCUGGCAGGAGGCUGCAGGAAUCUACAUACCACCAGUCUCCCCACAAAAGAGAGGGCUCACUAAGUCCCUUGUACAGGUGAGCAAAGUGAGGCUCAGUGUCACAAAGCUUUGGAGACUUGGGGGAGACAGGCUUGCAGCAUUACCCUGACUGCGUCCUGGGUGAUGGGUGUUGAUGAGUGCCCAAGCCCAUCUGUCUCACCCUCCUAGAAGCAUCCAAAGCCUGAGUCCCUCCAGAGCCCAUGCUACCUUCCAUGAUGGAAGCAUGGUAAUGAUCAAUGCACUCGUUUCCCCAGCCAGCCACCUACUUGCAUGCCGCAGAGCCAGAGGAGGCCCCUGAGAGAGAAGUGCCACAGGCAAAAAACUGAUUAAGAGCCCCUGCUCAUCUAAUCCUCACACCAGGCCUGCUGGUAUUACCAUUUCUGUUGACAGAUGGGGAAACUGAGGCUCAGACCCAUGAAGUGGCUAACCCAAAGUCAACCAUCAGGAUUUGAAGACUCGUCUGCAUAAACUCUGAUGCCCGUCUUGCUCCAGGACGGGCUGCUGCUUUUUAGGGAACCCAGGCUGGCCAGGCCCUCCUUUCUCCCCCAGGCCUCCUGGGCUCAGAAGUAUAAACCAGAAACAAACACUCUGGUUUGCACAGAAAGCAGUGGCUCCCCGGAAGAGGUUCCAGCAUGCCAUGGUGCUGGCCAAGAGGGAGGGACUUCAUGCUAACUCGCUGUGGUGAGCAGACCCAUGCCUGGGGACAGAGGGGCCCUAGACCUGUUCUCAAGGUGGUAAAACCAGCUGUCCCAGUGGUCGAAUGAGUGAGCAUGUCAAAGGGCAUGUCCAACCUCCCCCAACGGGCACAGUGCUCCAACAAGUUCCCACACCCCUGCCUGGGACCGGCCCCUGGGGUCAGGCAACGUCAGAAGCAACGUC
rnacentral:lncRNA from 1 species